GAGUGUGAAUAGCGCGCUCCGCCGCAAGGCGGAUGAGCUGUCGCAAACGACCCGAAGCCAAGCGAGCUUGCCAUGAGCAGGGUGAAGGACGACGAAGGUCGUCUGGAGGCCCGAACCCGUAGAUCGUUCAAUUUCUUGGGAUGACUUGUGGUAAGAAGUGAAAAGCUAAUCGAGCUUGGUAAUAGCUGGUUCUCCCCGAAAUAGCUUUAGGGCUAGCGUUGUAAAGCAAGUCCUGGAGGUAGAGCUCUGGAAAGAACGUUCUUGGAGCAAUCCAGACGUUUUUACCAAACUUCGAAUGCCAGGACCCUAGAUACAACAGUCAGAACGCGGGGGCUAAGCUCCGCGCUCAAAAGGGAAACAGCCCAGAUCUUCAUCUAAGGUCCCUAAAUCAAGCUAAGUGCAAACAAAGGAAGUGAAGCUCCAGAGAUAGCUAGGAGGUUCGCUUAGAAGCAGCUAUCCUUUAAAAAGUGCGUAACAGCUUACUAGCUAAGGAGUUUUGCGCCGUAAAUUUACAGGGGCUAAGCUUGAUACCGAAGAUAAGGAUCGUUCGCGCCUCACUUUUGUUCAGCACGAACUCCAACAUUUGACCAUUGACCUUUGACCUUUGACUAUUGACCUUAAGGAGGAUCAUAUAUCCUUCCUUAUUGUCAAUUGUUCAUUGUCAAAAGUUAAUUGUUUGAGCGAGUGCCGAGCGUAAGCGAGGCACGAACGAUGGUAGGGGAGCGUCCUUACUGCGGUAAAGUCGAAUCGCGAGAUUCGGUGGAGCGGUGAGGAGUGAGAAUGUUGGCAUGAGUAACCACAAUGCAGGUGAAAUCCCUGCACACCGAAAACCUAAGGUUUCCUUGGCAAUGACAAUCAUCCAAGGGUUAGGCGGCCCUAAGCUGUGCACCAAACGGUGUUCAGCGAUGGACAGAAGGUUAAUAUUCCUUCCCCUCGUCAUAUGCUUCUUUGGAUAACGGAGUAUAGUAGCUUGAGCAAGUUAAUGGAUUCUUGUCCGUGGCAUAAUCGGGCAACCGAAAGUGCAGCGGCAACCUGCCGUAAGGCGGAGAGUCAAGUGAGCAUGCUUCCUAGAAAAGUUCCAAAGAGAUGAGUAUGAUGAGUCCGUACCGGAAACCGACACAGGUGGGUUGGUAUUAAUGUACUAAGGUGAACGGGUGAAAGCUCCUGAAGGAACUCGGCAAAUCAGUGGUCGUAACUUCGGGAUAAGACCUUCCUCCUUCGCUCUUUGCUUCGCAAAGAGCUACGGAUGGACGAGUCCUCCUCCUUUCUUAAAGAAUUACGCGUUAAAACUGAAAGCGAAGGAGGAAUUCAUCCUUCCGAAGCUCCAAACGAAGUGAGGAGCGGAGGAGGACGCAGCAAACGUAUUCCUAGCGACUGUUUACCAAAAACACAGGUCCCUGCUCAACUCGAAAGAGGAUGUAUAGGGGCUGACGCCUGACCAGUGCUGGAGUGUUAAUCCUGCCGGUCUUUGCCGCAAGGUGAAGGCUGAGUGGGUGAAGCCCCAGUGAACGUCCGCGGUAACUAUAGGUACGGUCUGUAGUUGUAAAACCUAGCUAAAUGCGGGAAUAUCUCAACAAAGACUUGGAGGUACUCGGAAGGAAUCGUCCUCCUUUCAGUAACAAUCCGUUCAAGAGAGACAAUCCGCAGGAAAGAUCAUUUGCGAAUCCAUCACAUCUAUGGAAGAUGAAAGAUGGGUGAAACAAAUCCCAAACCACAUCGGCUGGUAUCUCGCGGGAUUUACAGACGGUGAAGGAAGCUUCAACGUCUCACUAAAACGAGAUCCAGAGUACCGGACGCGUUGGCAUAUAGAGCCGAGCUUUAAUGUCUCACAGAGAGACAGAACAAGUUUGGUGCUCUUCAAACGCUAUCUGGGAGUGGGGGGACUCCGACAGAGAAAGGACGGAGUCACCUACUACGAAGUGCGCAAUUAUCACGCGCUNNNNNNNNNNNNNNNNNCUCUUCCACGAAAAAGAGGAACUUCUCUCUAUUUAAGAGAGUCGUGGAGCUGAUGAACGAAGGAAAACACACCAACAAAGAAGGACUGGAAGAGAUUCUCCGCCUUAGAGAGAACAUGAAUGAAGGCCGAGGUCGAAAGAGAAAGUAUUCUUUGGACGAUUACUUAGAUUCGCAAACGAAAUCCUCAGAGACUAUACGCUAGGCCCCGACGUAACGUCGGGGAUGAGAUAGUCCGAUCUCAUAGGUGACUAUGAGUCAACAAGAAUGAACCGUGUUAAAGUAGGAAAUCUGCUUUAGUAAAAUCUGGCUAUAUGCUGGAAACUCCCGUGUAUCUUUGACUGGCAACGGCCAAAGUGGGGACAAUCAGCAGGAAAGACUUCUAUGGAAUCAUAGAAGAAUCCUCAGAGACCAUACGCCAGACUGAGUUUUCCUCAGAAGAUAUGGUCCGAACUUCAUGGCGACAUGGAGAGUAUCGCAGAAAUGCGAUACCGCCAUGCCUCUUUCCACGAGGCUUGGUAGGCAAGCAACAUCAUUGAGCGUAAUCCCUUGCCUGGUAAGUUCAGGCCCGCAUGAAAGGCGUAACGACUUGGAGACUGUCUCCAGGAGCUGCCCGGUGAAAAUGCAAUACCGGUGAAGAUGCCGGUUACCUGCGGCUAGACGGAAAGACCCCGGGAGCUUUACUAUAGCUUCCUAUUGUCUUGUCAUUUUACCUGCGUAGAAUAGCAGGGAGGCUGUGAAGCCCGUCUUUUGGGAUGGGUGGAGCCGUCAGUGAAAUACCUGUCUGGUAAGAAGGUAAGACUAAUUCUCGCUUUGCGAGAUGACAGUGGGAGGUGGGUAGUUUUAGUGGGGCGCUAGCCUCCAAAAGAGUAACGGAGGCGUUUACAAGGUCAGCUAGCUCCGGAUGGAAAUCGGAGUGGUCGUGUAAAGGCAUAAGCUGGCUUUACUGCGAGACGGGUAUGUCGAGCAGUUGCGAAAGCAGAACUUAGUGAACCGAUACGCCGUAGUAGAAGGCGUAAAGAUCAUCAACCAAAAGUUACCCCGGGGAUAACAGGCUGGUAGUGCCCGCGAGUCCAUAUCUACGGCACUGUUCGGCACCUUAUGUAGGAACAUCGGGGUGCUAUCCUGAGCAAUCGGGAUACCUGUCUUCGAUAACGCCAUCGAAGAGAAAAAAUCUGGCUUA
rfam:Candidatus Yanofskybacteria bacterium RIFCSPLOWO2_02_FTLL_47_9b rifcsplowo2_02_scaffold_90875, whole genome shotgun sequence.